UGGGCGUGACUUCAGGGGGCUGAGGACUGGUGGUCCUAUGCAAAUAAGCCUCCUCUUCCCCAGCUACCAGCCCUGAAGCUCUGUGAGGUCAGAACAGCAGGUCCUGGGGGAUCCCUUCUGCAGGGCCAUGGCAUCCCCUUUGUUUUUCUAUUUGCAUGUAAAGAAGGCCACUCAGGUGCUCAAGGUCCAGUAAGUCCAGGUGACUUUCCACGCUAGCCAGCUCCUUCCUUACAAAGCAGUUGAGUUCUACAUCCAGGCACCAGCCACCCUCCCACCAUCUCACUGAUCCCAAGAUGCAGGGAAGGAAUGGAUCCAGCUGCCCCUUCACCGAUGGAGAAACUGAGGCCCAAAGAGGGGAGAUGAUCUGCCCAAGGUCACGAAGAGAUGGCAGCAGGGCCAGCACCAGAGCUGCCACUCCUGCGGGUUCCUGGUUCAAUGCGUUUCCCGCUGUGCCGUCAUGUGAAGCUGGUAGUCCUUUUCCUCUCCUGCCGAAGGUACUAAAACACAGCCAAACUGUCAAAAAUAUCAGCAGCAAGAUGACCACACUCCAAAAGAAGCAACAGUUUCAUGAUUUUCCACAAUGCCCCAAGGGCUUGGAAGAUAGAGCGUUCUUCAAAACUGCCCCCACGCUGAACAGCCAACCAAAUAGCUUCCAAAGUCGCAGAUCGACUCAUGGCUGAUAUUUUCAGGAGCUCCGUGUCAAUAGCUGAUGUUCAUAUUUUCUGAGAAACAGGCAUUGUGGAACAAAUGCAAAAUCAAUACCAUCUGUCUCCAGGAAACAGCUCGAGAUUCCAGACAUCAGAGAGGCCUGACACAGCCAGGUUCCAGCACGAGAAGACAGAGGUGGAGCGAGAUGGGAAGCAAAGAGAUCCGUUUCUGAUCCAGAGGACUCCUCCCCUUGUUCUUAGAAGACAAAAUCAGUGAGAUCUCUGAAUGAUUCUUCCUCUUUAAAACACUCAGCCCAAAUACAUGUUUGUGAUAUCAUCAUCACAUUUGGCAGCAGGUUGGCCUGUGGUCAGAUGGCAGGGGGGACUUCCUCAGUAGGAGAUACAGAGAUCUGCAAGAGACCGGCCACUGAGGCUGGUUAACGUGAAUACACAUUCUCCCAGGACCAAUUGCCUGACUAAGACAGCCUCCAAAGGCGCCUGGAGGCCGAGGACUCUUAGAAGACUGGCUCAGCAGGUGUACCCAUCAGAAGCCGGCUCUGGGAACUUACACAGAGGGGAUUUUCAGGAAGGAUACUGAGGCCUCACAGAUUCACUAUGCAGAGAGCAAGUUGGGCUUGGGAAAUAGACCACAGCAGCUCCUGGAGUCCAGGCCUUCGGAUGCACUGUGACCACUGAGUCAGCCCUCAGAAGACUCCCCGGGAAGUGCGCAGCAGAGCCCCGGGGUGGCCCGUCCAGAAGGGCACCCCUCCGGGGAUGACAGCACUCAGCAAACUGCCUCCCCACAGAUACAGCCACUCCGGCUCUGGAGUUCCUGAAGACCUCAGUGGCUCUUGAAUGGUGAGCAUCCUUGGCUACCCAGCACGGAGGCUACUUGUGUACAUCUCGUUUCUAUGGUAACCCCAUUCCCCAAAUCCUAAGCAAGACUUAAGGUUGGAUGAGACACAUGUGCAUGGGGAGCCAGGAGCAGGCUUUAAACCUGGAGAACUCAGGUGCCCAGGGUGGCUCUGGCGCUGUCUCUCUGCAGUGGACUGUCCCAGUACACUCAGGCAGCUCUGUGCUCCCAGCUGCCCUGGGCAUCAGUGUCAUGGGCUGAACCAACACACAGGGCAGCCCCAGCCCUCCCUGCUCUGUCCUCUGCCCGAGUCAGGGCUCUCCAAGACAGCGCUGCUGGGCACCGUGGUGCUGACCGGACACCAACAGCUCACCGCCACCCCGUUCCCUCGGAUGGACCCAUGCGCCCCAUGCAAUGGAAGGGCCUUGCUCUUGUCCCUUUCAUUCUCUCAUCAGCCUGGCUUCCCUGAGGACUGCCUCAGUCUCUGGUUGGAUUGGGGACUGCCUUAGCAUGCUCUGGUGACAAGUGACAUUCAUUGAGUGGUGGGACUGGAGCAGAUAUGCCAUGGAACGGGCUGCAGGGCUGCUGCCGUCGGUCACCAGGAUUACAAGGAGCGGGGGCCUUGGAGGCUGGACGAAUCUGUCUUAAUGUGGGAAUGACAGUCAGGACCCUUGGUGACAAGUGACAGAAACACAGCCUGAGCCAGAUCAGGGAAGAGGGAGGGUUUGUAGGUUUAGAGGCCAAACCUCAGGUAGGGCUGGCAUGCUGUGGACGUCUGGGAUCGCCGGGAUGGUCUCCAUCUCUAAUCCGCCCUUCCCAGGGUCAGCACCACGCUUGCAGACCUGUCUCCUCUGAAGAGCUUGGCUGUGGCAGCCACAGGUCCCAGCUCACAAGCUCCCAGCCUCCUUAGGGUGAUGAAGACGGGGGCAAGGCCUUUCCUCGGCCCCCAGUGGAAAACUCCUGCUGAGGUGCUGGCUUGGAGCUUGGAGCAUGUGCUCUUCCUUGGGUGCCAGCCCCAUCCUCACCCCCAGGACCCGCAUGAAUGUAAGACCAUGAAUAAGCACAGGGGAAGAACUCAAUAAUCGGUUGUCAUCUGGAUAAAGAAAACAACUUUCCAGGCAGAAGAAACGGCAGCUGGAACCAAGAUGGCUGGAGCAGCCGUGGAGCAGCGGUGGAGCCCACUGGUCCCGAGUACAUGCUUCGGCGUGAAAAGGACCUGUGGCCAGCUGUGGCCCUGGGCAAGCUGCUUGACCUUCCUGAGUCUCGCCUCCGCAUCUGCACAGUCAGGACUGGCACAGCGCUGGCCUCCUGAUGCUGUGUGUGGUGGUGUUUGCAGAGCGCUUGAUAGAACGCGGGUUCAAAGCAAACCCUUCAUCUACGGGCCGAGGAGGAAACCUGACUCAGCACGCAGGCCAGCCCAAGGAGAGAGAUGAGGCGGGGCUGGCCGGUGGGGACGCAGUGGCCUUGAAUGGCAUGUCAAGGCCUCUGCCCUGGGGACAGUGCAGUGGGAGGAGCUGCCCAGGCUCAGGGGCUGAAGUCAGAAGAGCCAGAAAUAAACGCCACCCUCAAGGCCCAGAUGGGGACCUACCCC